UCGAGGAUCAUUCGCAAUGGGCGAAAGCCUGACGAUGCGACGCCGUGUGAGCGAUGAAGGCCUUCGGGUUGUAAAGCUCUUUCGCUUGGGAACAAGAGAGGCUAAUGAAUAAUUAGCUAAUUUGAGGGUACUAGGUAAAGAAGCACCGGCUAACUCCGUGCCAGCAGCUGCGGUAAUACGGAGGGUGCAAGCAUUAAUCGGAUUUAUUGGGCGUAAAGGGUGCGUAGGCGGAUGUAUAAGUCGGGUGUGAAAUUCCGGGGCUCAACCUCGGAGCCGCACUUGAUACUGUAUAACUUGAGGGUUGGCGGAGAGAAUGGAAUUCCACGUGUAGCGGUGAAAUGCGUAGAUAUGUGGAAGAACACCGGUGGCGAAAGCGGUUCUCUAGCUAACACCUGACGCUGAGGCACGAAAGCAAGGGGAGCAAACAGGAUUAGAUACCCCGGUAGUCC
rnacentral:rRNA from 1 species